rnacentral:rRNA from 2 species
UACGGAGGGUGCGAGCGUUGUCCGGAAUCACUGGGCGUAAAGGGCGCGUAGGCGGCCCGCGCAAGCGUGCGGUGAAAGCCCGGGGCUCAACCCCGGGUCGGCCGUGCGGACUGCGGGGCUCGAGCACUGUAGGGGCAGAUGGAAUUCCGGGUGUAGCGGUGGAAUGCGUAGAGAUCCGGAAGAACACCGGUGGCGAAGGCGGUCUGCUGGGCAGUAGCUGACGCUGAGGCGCGACAGCGUGGGGAGCAAACAGG